GAGAGUUGAGCAGUAAACAGGAGAGACACCAUGGACCUGGAGUGAGAGGGAAAUCCUAGAUAAAUGAAUCUAGGAUCGGGCUUUUGGACCGUCUCAGAGAAACUUCUACUGUCUGGGAAGAAAGUGAGCCCUUCUCCAGGGAGGGAGUGAUAUUCCAGGAGUGCCCCUGUCCUCUGAAUACAGCUAUGCUCAGCUUCCAGGAUCUGGUAAGUGCUGGGGCUUCUAAGGUGGCAAUUGGGCUAUUAACCACAAUA
rnacentral:lncRNA from 1 species